UGAGGAAUAUUGGUCAAUGGACGCAAGUCUGAACCAGCCAAGUAGCGUGCAGGAUGACGGCCCUAUGGGUUGUAAACUGCUUUUAUAUGGGGAUAAAGUGGGGAACGUGUUCCCUUUUGCAGGUACCAUAUGAAUAAGGACCGGCUAAUUCCGUGCCAGCAGCCGCGGUAAUACGGAAGGUUCGGGCGUUAUCCGGAUUUAUUGGGUUUAAAGGGAGCGUAGGCCGUUUGGUAAGCGUGUUGUGAAAUGUAGGAGCUCAACUUCUAGAUUGCAGCGCGAACUGUCAGACUUGAGUGCGCACAACGUAGGCGGAGUUCAUGGUGUAGCGGUGAAAUGCUUAGAUAUCAUGAAGAGCUCCGAUUGCGAAGGCAGCUUACGGGAGCGCAACUGACGCUGAAGCUCGAAGGAGCGGGUAUCGAACAGG
rnacentral:rRNA from 1 species